rnacentral:misc_RNA from 1 species
AACGCACAUUGCGCCCCUUGGUAUUCCGAGGGGCAUGCCUGUUCGAGCGUCAUUUCAACCCCUCAAGCUCUGCUUGGUGUUGGGUCGCGCUGCUGCUCCGGCGGCGGGCCCUAAAAUCAGUUGGCGGUGCCGUCGCGGCUCCAAGCGUAGUAGCAUACCUCUCGCUCUGGAAACCCGGCGGUUGCCUGCCCCCUAAACCAGAUUAAAUUCUCACGGUUGACCUCGGAUCAGGUAGGGAUACCCGCUGAACUUAA